UGCACGCUGGCGGCGUGCCUAAUACAUGCACGUCGAGCGAACGGACGAGAAGCUUGCUUUUCUGAUGUUAGCGGCGGACGGGUGAGUAACACGUGGAUAACCUACCUAUAAGACUGGGAUAACUUCGGGAAACCGGAGCUAAUACCGGAUAAUAUUUUGAACCGCAUGGUUCAAAAGUGAAAGACGGUCUUGCUGUCACUUAUAGAUGGAUCCGCGCUGCAUUAGCUAGUUGGUAAGGUAACGGCUUACCAAGGCAACGAUGCAUAGCCGACCUGAGAGGGUGAUCGGCCACACUGGAACUGAGACACGGUCCAGACUCCUACGGGAGGCAGCAGUAGGGAAUCUUCCGCAAUGGGCGAAAGCCUGACGGAGCAACGCCGCGUGAGUGAUGAAGGUCUUCGGAUCGUAAAACUCUGUUAUUAGGGAAGAACAUAUGUGUAAGUAACUGUGCACAUCUUGACGGUACCUAAUCAGAAAGCCACGGCUAACUACGUG
rnacentral:rRNA from 1 species